rnacentral:rRNA from 1 species
GUCCACGCCCUAAACGAUGAUCACUCGAUGUGUGCGAUAAACUGUACGCGUCCAAGCGAAAGCAUUAAGUGAUCCACCUGGGGAGUACGACCGCAAGGUUGAAACUCAAAGGAAUUGACGGGGGCCCGCACAAGCGGAGGAGCAUGUGGUUUAAUUCGAUGAUACGCGAGGAACCUUACCAGGGCUUGAAAGUUAGUGAAGAAUGUGGAAACAUGUUCGUCAGCAAUGACACGAAACUAGGUGCUGCAUGGCUGUCGU